rnacentral:rRNA from 1 species
UACGAAGGGGGCUAGCGUUGUUCGGAAUUACUGGGCGUAAAGGGUGCGUAGGCGGCGUGGUAAGUCGGAUGUGAAAUCUCGGAGCUUAACUCCGAAACUGCAUUCGAUACUGCCGUGCUUGAGGACUGGAGAGGAGACUGGAAUUUACGGUGUAGCGGUGAAAUGCGUAGAUAUCGUAAGGAAGACCAGUGGCGAAGGCGGGUCUCUGGACAGUUCCUGACGCUGAGGCACGAAGGCCAGGGGAGCAAACGGG